UUAAAUUGAAGAGUUUGAUCAUGGCUCAGAUUGAACGCUGGCGGCAGGCCUAACACAUGCAAGUCGAACGGUAACAGGAAGCAGCUUGCUGCUUUGCUGACGAGUGGCGGACGGGUGAGUAAUGUCUGGGAAACUGCCUGAUGGAGGGGGAUAACUACUGGAAACGGUGGCUAAUACCGCAUAACGUCGCAAGACCAAAGAGGGGGACCUUCGGGCCUCUUGCCAUCAGAUGUGCCCAGAUGGGAUUAGCUUGUUGGUGAGGUAACGGCUCACCAAGGCGACGAUCCCUAGCUGGUCUGAGAGGAUGACCAGCCACACUGGAACUGAGACACGGUCCAGACUCCUACGGGAGGCAGCAGUGGGGAAUAUUGCACAAUGGGCGCAAGCCUGAUGCAGCCAUGCCGCGUGUAUGAAGAAGGCCUUCGGGUUGUAAAGUACUUUCAGCGGGGAGGAAGGUGUUGUGGUUAAUAACCGCAGCAAUUGACGUUACCCGCAGAAGAAGCACCGGCUAACUCCGUGCCAGCAGCCGCGGUAAUACGGAGGGUGCAAGCGUUAAUCGGAAUUACUGGGCGUAAAGCGCACGCAGGCGGUCUGUCAAGUCGGAUGUGAAAUCCCCGGGCUCAACCUGGGAACUGCAUUCGAAACUGGCAGGCUUGAGUCUUGUAGAGGGGGGUAGAAUUCCAGGUGUAGCGGUGAAAUGCGUAGAGAUCUGGAGGAAUACCGGUGGCGAAGGCGGCCCCCUGGACAAAGACUGACGCUCAGGUGCGAAAGCGUGGGGAGCAAACAGGAUUAGAUACCCUGGUAGUCCACGCCGUAAACGAUGUCUACUUGGAGGUUGUGCCCUUGAGGCGUGGCUUCCGGAGCUAACGCGUUAAGUAGACCGCCUGGGGAGUACGGCCGCAAGGUUAAAACUCAAAUGAAUUGACGGGGGCCCGCACAAGCGGUGGAGCAUGUGGUUUAAUUCGAUGCAACGCGAAGAACCUUACCUGGUCUUGACAUCCACAGAAUUUUGCAGAGAUGGGGAAGUGCCUUCGGGAACUGUGAGACAGGUGCUGCAUGGCUGUCGUCAGCUCGUGUUGUGAAAUGUUGGGUUAAGUCCCGCAACGAGCGCAACCCUUAUCCUUUGUUGCCAGCGAUUAGGUCGGGAACUCAAAGGAGACUGCCAGUGAUAAACUGGAGGAAGGUGGGGAUGACGUCAAGUCAUCAUGGCCCUUACGACCAGGGCUACACACGUGCUACAAUGGCGCAUACAAAGAGAAGCGACCUCGCGAGAGCAAGCGGACCUCAUAAAGUGCGUCGUAGUCCGGAUUGGAGUCUGCAACUCGACUCCAUGAAGUCGGAAUCGCUAGUAAUCGUGGAUCAGAAUGCCACGGUGAAUACGUUCCCGGGCCUUGUACACACCGCCCGUCACACCAUGGGAGUGGGUUGCAAAAGAAGUAGGUAGCUUAACCUUCGGGAGGGCGCUUACCACUUUGUGAUUCAUGACUGGGGUGAAGUCGUAACAAGGUAACCGUAGGGGAACCUGCGGUUGGAUCACCUCCUUACCU
rnacentral:rRNA from 1 species